GGAAACGGGUGGUAAUGCCGGAUGCUCCAGUUGAUCGCAUGGUCUUCUGGGAAAGCUUUCGCGGUAUGGGAUGGGGUCGCGUCCUAUCAGCUUGACGGCGGGGUAACGGCCCACCGUGGCUUCGACGGGUAGCCGGCCUGAGAGGGCGACCGGCCACAUUGGGACUGAGAUACGGCCCAGACUCCUACGGGAGGCAGCAGUGGGGAAUAUUGCACAAUGGGCGCAAGCCUGAUGCAGCGACGCCGCGUGAGGGAUGGAGGCCUUCGGGUUGUAAACCUCUUUUAUCGGGGAGCAAGCGAGAGUGAGUUUACCCGUUGAAUAAGCACCGGCUAACUACGUGCCAGCAGCCGCGGUAAUACGUAGGGUGCAAGCGUUAUCCGGAAUUAUUGGGCGUAAAGGGCUCGUAGGCGGUUCGUCGCGUCCGGUGUGAAAGUCCAUCGCUUAACGGUGGAUCCGCGCCGGGUACGGGCGGGCUUGAGUGCGGUAGGGGAGACUGGAAUUCCCGGUGUAACGGUGGAAUGUGUAGAUAUCGGAAAAAAACACCA
rnacentral:rRNA from 1 species